UACGUAGGGGGCAAGCGUUGUCCGGAUUUAUUUGGCGUAAAGCGCUCGCAGGUGGUUCGUUGCGUCGUGCGUGAAAGACCCCGGCUCAACUGGGGAGGGUCGUGCGAUACGGGCGAACUGGAGGCCAGUAGGGGGAUGCGGAAUUCCGGGUGUAGUGGUGGAAUGCGUAGAGAUCCGGAGGAACACCAGCGGCGAAGGCGGCAUCCUGGACUGGUCCUGACGCUCAUGAGCGAAAGCGUGGGGAGCGAUCCGG
rnacentral:rRNA from 1 species